AUAACCGCUGAUGUACACCUACCAGCUUGAUAACUCUUUUUCGUGGUUUCUGUGUACUCGUUUCUGUUUGUACAGAUACUUCUUGUUCAAUUUCAGAUGCUUUAGAAGGUUUUCGGAG
rnacentral:misc_RNA from 1 species